rnacentral:rRNA from 1 species
CCUACGGGAGGCAGCAGUGGGGAAUAUUGGGCAAUGGGCGCAAGCCUGACCCAGCAACGCCGCGUGAAGGAAGAAGGCUUUCGGGUUGUAAACUUCUUUUGACAGGGAAGAGGAGAAGACGGUACCUGGCGAAUAAGCCACGGCUAACGACGGGCCAGCAGCCGCGGUAAUACGUAUGUGGCAAGCGUUGUCCGGAUUUACUGGGUGUAAAGGGCGUGUAGCCGGGUUGAAAAGUCAGAUGUGAAAUCCUGCGGCUUAACCGCAUAACUGCAUUUGAAACUGUUGAUCUUGAGUACUGGCGCGGCAGCCGGAAUUCCUAGUGUAGCGGUGAAAUGCGUAGAUAUUAGGAGGACCCCCAGUGGCGACGGCGGUCUGCUGAACAGCACCUGACGGUGAGGCGCGAAAGCGUGGGGAGCAAACAGGAUUAGAUACCCUUGUAGUC